CAGCCCAGCCUGUCCACGGCCCCUCAGGGCCUGCACAGGGCCCCCUGACCACCCAGCCGUGCCAUCUGGCCCCUGCUCCUCACCGUCAUGCCAUUGACCGUGCCCAGCUCCUCGCGGAUGGUGAAGAUGUCCAGCAUUGCCUGCGUGGGGUGCUCCCCCACGCCGUCCCCAGCGUUGAUCACCGGCUUGCGGCAGUGCCUGGCGGCCAGCUGGGAGCACCGGCAAGGCAGGGCAGGUGAGCGCAGGCAGAACACUAUUCCCACCAACCCCAUGGUAGCAGGACCCAACCCCAGCCCAGCUGGGGACCAUGUCCUGCCCCACAGCACAGGUUGCCAUCCCUGCCCCAAUGCCUCCAGAAGAGACGGCGGCUUCCCUCAGCCCCUCUCACCUCGACAGCGCCAGGCUGGGGGUGCCGCAGCACCAGCACGUCGGCGUAGCAGCACAUGGUCUGCACAGAGUCCGCCAGCGACUCGCCCUUCUGCACCGAGGAGGUGGCCUCGGAGAAGGACAGCACAGAGCCACCCAGCCGGCUCAUGGCUGCUGCGAAGGAGCUGCUGGUCCGCGUGCUCACCUCGUAGAACAUGGUCGCCAUCACCUUCCCCUGCAGGGCCAGGCCGUCACCUCGGGGAGCCCUGGCACCCCACCUGGCACGGGGCUCCCUCGGGGUGCCCAGGGGACAGGUGUGUGCUCACCUUGAGGAUCUCCACGCUCCGCUCCUUCUGCACCAGCAAGCGUAGGGUGUGUGCCACGUUGAACAGGUGGGACAGCUGCGGAGACAGGUGGCACCAGGGCUCAGCCGGGGUAGGGGAAGCACCAGAGCACCCACAGCCCCCGCGCCCACCCGGCCAGGCACCUGAUCCUUGGAGAACUGCUGGACAGAGAGGACGUGCUGCCCGACCAUGGCAGCGGCGGGGUGCAGCGCCGAGGAGGUCUGGGGGGCGCGCUGAGGCGACACCUGGCGCGGGACAGGGCCCAGUGGGUGGAAGAGGUUGUCUUGGACCGCCGCUGAAUCUGUGGCACCGAGUAGCUGGUCAGUCCACGGUGGUGCCCUGAGGAGCCCAGCCACCAGCCACGGAGCCUGGAU
rnacentral:lncRNA from 1 species